AGAGUUUGAUCAUGGCUCAGGAUGAACGCUAGCUACAGGCUUAACACAUGCAAGUCGAGGGGCAGCAUGGUCUUAGCUUGCUAAGGCUGAUGGCGACCGGCGCACGGGUGAGUAACACGUAUCCAACCUGCCGUCUACUCUUGGCCAGCCUUCUGAAAGGAAGAUUAAUCCAGGAUGGGAUCAUGAGUUCACAUGUCCGCAUGAUUAAAGGUAUUUUCCGGUAGACGAUGGGGAUGCGUUCCAUUAGAUAGUAGGCGGGUAACGGCCACCUAGUCAACGAUGGAUAAGGGUUCUGAGAGGAAGGUCCCCCANAUUGGAACUGAGACACGGUCCAAACUCCUACGGGAGGCA
rnacentral:rRNA from 1 species